rnacentral:rRNA from 1 species
CCUACGGGCGGGCAGCAGUGGGGAAUAUUGGACAAUGGGCGAAAGCCUGAUCCAGCCAUGCCGCGUGUGUGAAGAAGGCCUUCGGGUUGUAAAGCACUUUCAGUGGGGAAGAAAGCCUUGGGGCUAAUACCCUCGAGGAAGGACAUCACCCACAGAAGAAGCACCGGCUAACUCCGUGCCAGCAGCCGCGGUAAUACGGAGGGUGCGAGCGUUAAUCGGAAUUACUGGGCGUAAAGCGCGCGUAGGCGGUCUGAUAAGCCGGUUGUGAAAGCCCCGGGCUCAACCUGGGAACGGCAUCCGGAACUGUCAGGCUAGAGUGCAGGAGAGGAAGGUAGAAUUCCCGGUGUAGCGGUGAAAUGCGUAGAGAUCGGGAGGAAUACCAGUGGCGAAGGCGGCCUUCUGGACUGACACUGACGCUGAGGUGCGAAAGCGUGGGUAGCAAACAGGAUUAGAUACCCUUGUAUC